UACCCAUCACGUGUUUAAAAACAAUUAAUUUUAACUAUUUAUUUAAAUAGUUCCAUAAUUUAUCAUAGGUAUGUUUUUUCUUAUCUUCCAAUUUUAUAUGUGGAUCACAUGAUUAAAGAUAAUUAAUUAAAUAAUAAUAAAUUAUAUUGUAUUAUUAAAUCCAGGGUAAGAAAAAUUAUAAUGUUAUCGUGUGUAUUUUGAUAAAAUUGCAGAAUAAUGCAGCGUCUCGUGCGUUCCCCUUAUAAUAAAAGUAGGGGUACGCUAAAAUUUCUGAAAAAUUAGUUGGUCCCCCCUCAAGACGAGCACUGGGUAAAUGUACUACUAAUAAGUAAUAAUUAAUAAAGAAAUACUAACCCAUACAUUAUUGUUAAAUUAAAUAUGGUACUACAAAGUAGAUACAGCUAAAAUGCAUACAAUAUAUUUUUUUUAUUUAAGAUACCUUUUCAAAUGCUCAAAAAAAAUGUGAAAAGGCAAGGAGCCAAUCUGAUCUUUCCUCUGCAGAAGAUAAUUUUAAACGAAAGAGUUAUAAGAUAUUAAAAAAACAAAAGACUCCAAGUUCAGAAUCUGACUAUGGACAAUCUGAUGACAACAGUAAUUCAAUUCCGCGUUAUCAUUCAGGUAAUUAAUCUUUUCCUUAAUUUUAUACUGUUUUGCUACGAUAAAUGAUCAUUUAAUAACAAUUGAGUACCUAAGUACAUUUUUUAAUUUUAAUUUUCAUAUAAUAUUUUUUACUAGUUUAUAAAUCAGUCUUAAGCUCUUACAAUAACAUACCUAACAUUUAUAUAUUUAUGUUGUAUUAGAUCCAGACUCUAGUAAUAAAAAGUUAGCUGGAUGGUCUCCAUUAAAAACUUCUCUAAACAGAGGUGAAAUAG